rnacentral:rRNA from 1 species
GACGAACGCUGGCGGCGUGCUUAACACAUGCAAGUCGAACGGAAAGGCCCUGCUUUUGUGGGGUGCUCGAGUGGCGAACGGGUGAGUAACACGUGAGUAACCUGCCCUUGACUUUGGGAUAACUUCAGGAAACUGGGGCUAAUACCGGAUAGGAGCACCUGCUGCAUGGUGGGGGUUGGAAAGUUUCGGCGGUUGGGGAUGGACUCGCGGCUUAUCAGCUUGUUGGUGGGGUAGUGGCUUACCAAGGCUUUGACGGGUAGCCGGCCUGAGAGGGUGACCGGCCACAUUGGGACUGAGAUACGGCCCAGACUCCUACGGGAGGAAGCAGUGGGGAAUAUUGCACAAUGGGCGGAAGCCUGAUGCAGCAACGCCGCGUGCGGGAUGACGGCCUUCGGGUUGUAACCCGCUUUCGCCUGUGACGAAGCGUGAGUGACGGUAAUGGGUAAAGAAGCACCGGCUAACUACGUG